UACGUAGGUCCCGAGCGUUGUCCGGAUUUAUUGGGCGUAAAGCGAGCGCAGGUGGUUUAAUAAGUCUGGUGUAAAAGGCAGUGGCUCAACCAUUGUAUGCAUUGGAAACUGGUAGACUUGAGUGCAGGAGAGGAGAGUGGAAUUCCAUGUGUAGCGGUGAAAUGCGUAGAUAUCGGGAGGAACACCAGUGGCGAAGGCGGCUUCCUGGCCUGUUACUGACGCUGAGAUGCGAAAGCGUGGGGAGCGAACGGG
rnacentral:rRNA from 1 species